UACGGAGGGUGCAAACGUUGCUCGGAAUUACUGGGCGUAAAGGGCUCGUAGGUGGCCAACUAAGUCAGACGUGAAAUCCCUCGGCUUAACCGGGGAACUGCGUCUGAUACUGGAUGGCUUGAGUUUGGGAGAGGAAUGCGGAAUUCCGGGUGUAGUGGUGAAAUGCGUAGAGAUCCGGAGGAACCCCAGAGGCGAAGGCGGCGCUCUGGCUCGCAACUGACGCUCAGACACGACAGCAUGGGGAGCGAACGGG
rnacentral:rRNA from 1 species